rnacentral:rRNA from 1 species
UUAACUUGGUAACGCAGCUAACGCGUGAAGUAGACCGCCUGGGGAGUACGGUCGCAAGAUUAAAACUCAAAGGAAUUGACGGGGACCCGCACAAGCGGUGGAUGAUGUGGAUUAAUUCGAUGCAACGCGAAAAACCUUACCUACCCUUGACAUGGCAGAAAUCCUCGAGAGAUUGAGGAGUGCUCGAAAGAGAAUCUGCACACAGGUGCUGCAUGGCUGUCGUCAGCUCGUGUCGUGAGAUGUUGGGUUAAGUCCCGCAACGAGCGCAACCCUUGUCAUUAGUUGCUACGAAAGGGCACUCUAAUGAGACUGCCGGUGACAAACCGGAGGAAGGUGGGGAUGACGUCAAGUCCUCAUGGCCCUUAUGGGUAGGGCUUCACACGUCAUACAAUGGUACAUACAGAGCGCCGCCAACCCGCGAGGGGGAGCUAAUCGCAGAAAGUGUAUCGUAGUCCGGAUUGUAGUCUGCAACUCGACUGCAUGAAGUUGGAAUCGCUAGUAAUCGCGGAUCAGCAUGUCGCGGUGAAUACGUUCCCGGGUCUUGUACACACCGCCCGUC